rnacentral:rRNA from 1 species
AUUGAACGCUGGCGGCAUGCCUUACACAUGCAAGUCGAACGGUAACAGGUCUUCGGAUGCUGACGAGUGGCGAACGGGUGAGUAAUACAUCGGAACGUGCCUAGUAGUGGGGGAUAACUACUCGAAAGAGUGGCUAAUACCGCAUGAGAUCUACGGAUGAAAGCAGGGGAUCGCAAGACCUUGUGCUACUAGAGCGGCCGAUGGCAGAUUAGGUAGUUGGUGGGAUAAAAGCUUACCAAGCCGACGAUCUGUAGCUGGUCUGAGAGGACGAUCAGCCACACUGGGACGGAGACACGGCCCAGGCUCCUACGGGAGGCAGCAGUGGGGAAUUUUGGACAAUGGGCGAAAGCCUGAUCCAGCAAUGCCGCGUGCAGGAUGAAGGCCUUCGGGUUGUAAACUGCUUUUGUACGGAACGAAAAGCCCUGGGUUAAUACCCUGGGGUCAUGACGGUACCGUAAGAAUAAGCACCGGCUAACUACGUGCCAGCCGCCGCAGUAA